CUCGUAGGUGGCCAACUAAGUCAGACGUGAAAUCCCUCGGCUUAACCGGGGAACUGCGUCUGAUACUGGAUGGCUUGAGGUUGGGAGAGGGAUGCGGAAUUCCAGGUGUAGCGGUGAAAUGCGUAGAUAUCUGGAGGAACACCGGUGGCGAAGGCGGCAUCCUGGACCAAUUCUGACGCUGAGGAGCGAAAGCCAGGGGGAGCAAACG
rnacentral:rRNA from 1 species